rnacentral:rRNA from 1 species
UAAUGGGUCAGCGACUUAUAUUCAGUGGCAAGGUUAACCAUCUAGGGGAGCCGUAGGGAAACCGAGUCUUAACUGGGCGUUCAGUCUCUGGAUAUAGACCCGAAACCAGGUGAUCUAGCCAUGGGCAGGUUGAAGGUUGAGUAACAUCAACUGGAGGACCGAACCGACUAAUGUUGAAAAAUUAGCGGAUGACUUGUGGCUAGGGGUGAAAGGCCAAUCAAACCUGGAGAUAGCUGGUUCUCCCCGAAAGCUAUUUAGGUAGCGCCUCGGACGAAUACUACUGGGGGUAGAGCACUGUUAAGGCUAGGGGGUCAUCCCGACUUACCAACCCUUUGCAAACUCCGAAUACCAGUAAGUACUAUCCGGGAGACACACGGCGGGUGCUAACGUCCGUCGUGGAGAGGGAAACAACCCAGACCGCCAGCUAAGGUCCCAAAUUACUACUAAGUGGGAAACGAUGUGGGAAGGCUCAGACAGCCAGGAUGUUGGCUUAGAAGCAGCCAUCAUUUAAAGAAAGCGUAAUAGCUCACUGGUCGAGUCGGCCUGCGCGGAAGAUGUAACGGGGCUAAGUAGUAAACCGAAGCUGCGGCAAUAUACUUUUGUAUAUUGGGUAGGGGAGCGUUCUGUAAGCGGUUGAAGGUGUGUGGUAACGCAUGCUGGACGUAUCAGAAGUGCGAAUGCUGACAUGAGUAACGAUAAAGGGGGUGAAAAACCUCCUCGCCGGAAGACCAAGGGUUCCUGUCCAACGUUAAUCGGGGCAGGGUAAGUCGACCCCUAAGGCGAGGCCGAAAGGCGUAGUCGAUGGGAAACGGGUUAAUAUUCCCGUACUUCUUACAAUUGCGAUGGGGGGACGGAGAAGGCUAGGUGGGCCUGGCGACGGUUGUCCAGGUUCAAGUGCGUAGGCUUAAGA